ACUCUACGUGGUGGAUCACUAGAGUCUCGGUUCGAUGAAGAUCGCAGCUAGCUGCGAUAAGUAGUGCGAAUUGCAGAUACAAUGAGCACGAAAUCGUUGAAUGCACAUUGCGCCGGCGAGAUAAUCGUCGGCACGUUUGGAUUAGUGUUGAAUGUGCUAUUGUGUCGCCCCGCAAGGGUGACUGUGUCGUGGCGCGAGCUUCUCGGUAAGUUCCCGUCAUCAGAUCUAUUGUGGCAACACUUGCGAAGCCCUAAAAAGCCUAGCAUACCGCACCUCGUUGUGUCUCUCGUCUGUUGCUUUCGUGAUAGGACGUUGCGAUACGGUCUGCAAGCUGUCGCUAUUGGCUUGUGAUCGCGCAUUACCCUAUUCCCGUCGUGCCUCGAGUACGGGCGAAGCUUCGGCAUGCUAUGGAGACUUGCAGCAUUGAGGAUUCUAGCAAUAAUCAACCUAAUCUCAAGCGUGACUACCCGCUGAACUUAAGCAUAUCAGUAAGCGGAGGAAAAGAAACUAACAAGGAUUCCCUGAGUAACGGCGAGUGAAACGGGAAAAGCCCAGCGUGUAAUCGCUCAGGUCAUACCUGUAGCGAGGUGUCACGUAUAGGCGCGUCUGUCUGGUUUUCGUUGAGGUUCGAAGUUUUCUCGAAUGAAACUUCCCGCAGUGGGUGCUAGGCCCGUACGGACUUCGACUUGGCCAGUUGGGCGUGUCUUGGAGUAGAGUUGCUUGGAAGUGCAGCUCAAAGUGGGUGGUAUACCACAUCUAAGGCUAAAUAUGACCGAGACUUCGAUAGCGAACAAGUACCGUGAGGGAAAGUUGCAAAGAACUUUGAAGAGAGAGUUCAAGAGAAUGUGAAACCACGUGGGGCUAAGCGGAUAGAGUUGACGAAACUGGCAGUGUUCAGUGCUCGUGAUCGGGUUCGCUCGUGAUCGGGUGCGCAUUCAUUGUCGGUACGUGCUGGGACGUUCGGUGAGCCCUUCUGAAGGCUUCAGAGUCACCCAAGCUUGCUUGGUAGUGUUCUGUCGUCGGAAGUUGAUGUGCUCGCUGAUCGUAGCGGUGGCCGUGCCUCUGCGCGUUCGUUCGUUAGUUGGUGUGCUGCUUGGUAGUCGGACAUGUCUGGCUGCCUCGUACGUGUGCUGAUUAGCGGGCGCUCGCCUAUGGCCCACUCCCGGUAUGCGAAAGUCGACCACCUAUCCGACCCGUCUUGAAACACGGACCAAGAAGUCUAGUAUGUACGCGAGUCAUUGGGUAUUAAACCUAUUGGCGCAAUAAAUGUGAAGGGCGGCUUGUUCGUCUGAUAUGUGAUCCGUCGGUCUCGGCCAGCGGCGCAACAUAGUCCCAUGCCUACUGCUUGCAGUGGUGUGGAGAUGGAGCGUACACACUAGGACCCGAAAGAUGGUGAACUAUGCCUGAGCAGGACGAAGUCAGAGGAAACUCUGAUGGAAGUCCGAAGCGGUUCUGACGUGCAAAUCGAUCGUCGGACUCGGGUAUAGGGGCGAAAGACUAAUCGAACCAUCUAGUAGCUGGUUCACACCGAAGUUUCCCCCAGGAUAGCUGGCACUUAUGUUUGUUGUAUCUUGUAAAGCUAAUGAUUAGAGGACUUGGGGACGAAAUGUUCUUAACCUAUUCUCAAACUUUCAAUGGGUAUGAUGUCGCGGUUGCUUAAGUGAACCGUGGCUGCGAAAGCGAGUGCCAAGUGGGCCAUUUUUGGUAAGCAGAACUGGCGAUGUGGGAUGAACCAAACGUUGGGAUAAGGUGCCUAACUCUCCGCUCAUGAGACCCCAUAAAGGGUGUUGAUUGAUAUAGACAGCAGGACGGUGGCCAUGGAAGUCGGAACCCGCUAAGGAGUGUGUAACAACUCACCUGCCGAAUCAAUCAGCCCCGAAAAUGGAUGGCGCUUGAGCGGGGGACCUAAGCCCAACCGUUGUUGGCUUGUACGUUUCGUGCGUCUGGCCUCAACGAGUAGGUGUGUCGCGGCGGUUAGCGUCGAAGGCUUAGGGAUACCCAAUGACUCGCGUACAUACUAGACUUCUUGGUCCGUGUUUCAAGACGGGUCGGAUAGGUGGUCGACUUUCGCAUACCGGGAGUGGGCCAUAGGCGAGCGCCCGCUAAUCAGCACACGUACGAGGCAGCCAGACAUGUCCGACUACCAAGCAGCACACCAACUAACGAACGAACGCGCAGAGGCACGGCCACCGCUACGAUCAGCGAGCACAUCAACUUCCGACGACAGAACACUACCAAGCAAGCUUGGGUGACUCUGAAGCCUUCAGAAGGGCUCACCGAACGUCCCAGCACGUACCGACAAUGAAUGCGCACCCGAUCACGAGCGAACCCGAUCA
rnacentral:rRNA from 1 species